CGCGGAGUGGACCAACGGUAGGUCAUCAGGCUCAUAACCUGAAGGUUGGCGGUUCAAGUCCGCCCUCCGCAACCA
rnacentral:tRNA from 5 species